UGAGCAAUCUGCCCUUCUCAUCGGAAUAAGCGUUGGAAACGACGUCUAAUGCCGAAUACGACCUCCUUUCGCAUGAUCGGAGGUGGAAAGCUCCGGCGGAGAAGGACGAGCUCGCGGCCUAUCAGCUAGUUGGUGUGGGUAAUGGCCCACCAAGGCGACGACGGGUAGCCGGCCUGAGAGGGUGACCGGCCACACUGGGACUGAGACACGGCCCGGACUCCUACGGGAGGCAGUAGU
rnacentral:rRNA from 1 species